rnacentral:rRNA from 1 species
GACGAACCGUGCGAACGUUGUUCGGAAUCACUGGGCUUAAAGGGCGCGUAGGCGGCUCAUCAAGUCGGGGGUGAAAUACUUCAGCUUAACUGGAGAAGUGCCUUCGAUACUGGUGGGCUUGAGGGAGGUAGGGGUCUUUGGAACUUCUGGUGGAGCGGUGAAAUGCGUUGAUAUCAGAAAGGAACGCCGGUGGCGAAAGCGAAGGACUGGACCUCUUCUGACGCUGAGGCGCGAAAGCUAGGGGAGCAAACGGG